CACAUGACCAGAUUUUGUUCAU
rnacentral:siRNA from 1 species